rnacentral:rRNA from 1 species
GACGAACGCUGGCGGCGUGCUUAACACAUGCAAGUCGAGCGGUAAGGCCCUUUCGGGGGUACACGAGCGGCGAACGGGUGAGUAACACGUGGGUGACCUGCCCUCAGCUCUGGGAUAAGCCUGGGAAACCGGGUCUAAUACCGGAUAUGACUCCAUGACGCAUGUUGGUGGGGUGGAAAGCCUUGUGCGGCUGAGGAUGGGCCCGCGGCCUAUC